AGAGAAGCCAAUCAGCUCCCCGCGGUCCCGGUUCUAAAGUCCCCAGUCACCCACCCGGACUCAGAUUAUCCCCAGAUGCUUAGGAUGACGGUCAUGGCGCCCCGAACUCUCCUCCUGCUGCUCUCGGGGACCCUUGCCCUGACCCAGACCCGGGCGGGCUCCCACUCCUUGAGGUAUUUUCAUACCUCUGUGUCCCGCCCCCGCCGCGAGGAGCCCCGCUUUAUCACCGUGGGCUACGUGGACGACACGCAGUUCGUGCGGUUCGACAGCGACGCCGCGAGUCCGAGAAAGGAGCCGCGGGCGCCGUGGAUGGAGCAGGAGGGGCCGGAGUAUUGGGACCGGGAGACACUGAUCUCCAAGCAGAAUGCACAGACUUACCGAGUGAACCUGCGGACCCUGCGCGGCUACUACAACCAGACCGAGGCCGGGUCUCACACCAUCCAGCUGAUGUAUGGCUGCGACGUGGGGCCGGACGGGCGCCUCCUCCGCGGGUAUAACCAGUUCGCCUACGACGGCAAGGACUACAUCGCCCUGAACGAGGACCUGCGCUCCUGGACGGCCGCGGACGUGGCGGCUCAGAUCACCCAGCGCAAGUGGGAGGCGGCCAAUGUGGCUGAGGAGUGGAGAGCCUACCUGGAGGGCACGUGCGUGGAGGGGCUCCGCAGAUACCUGAAGAACGGGAAGGAGACGCUGCAGCGCGCGGUGCCCCCCAAGACUCAUGUGACCCACCACCCCGUCUCUGACGAUGAGGCUACCCUGAGGUGCUGGACCCUGGGCUUCUACCCUGCGGAGAUCACACUGACCUGGCAGCGGGAUGGGGAGGACCAGACCCAGGACAUGGAGCUUGUGGAGACCAGGCCCACAGGGGAUGGAAACUUCCAGAAGUGGGCUGCUGUGGUGGUGCCUUCUGGAGAGGAGCAGAGAUACACAUGCCAUGUGCAGCACGAGGGGCUGCCCGAGCCCCUCACCCUGAGAUGGGAGCCGUCUUCCCAGCCCACCAUUCCCAUCCUGGGCAUCAUUGCUGCCCUGGCUGUCCUUGGAGCUGUAGUCACUGGAGCUGUGGUCGCCGCUGUGAUGUGGAGGAAGAAAAGCUCAGAUAGCAAAGGCGGGAGCUACCAUCCAGCUGCAAGUAAGUGUGAAGGAAGCUGAUCCCUGAGAUUGCGUAGGACAUUUUCUUCCCACAGAUAGUAAAAGAGGGAGCUACUCUCAGGCUGCAGGCAGCGACAGUCCCCAGGGCUCUGAUGUGUCUCUCACAGCUUGUAAAGUGUGAGAUAGUGUGAGACAGCUGCCUUGUGUGGGACUGAGAGUCAAGUUUUAUCCACACCUUCCAUUUGUAACUUCAAGAACCCUGACUUCUCUUACUGCAAAGGCAUCUGAAUGUGUCUGUGUCCCUAUAGGCAUAAUGUGAGGAGGUGGGAAGACCAGCCCAGCCCCGUGUCCACCAUGACCCCUUCCCCACACUGACCUGCAUUCCUUCCCCGAUCACCUUUUCUGUUCCAGAGACCUGGGGCUGGAAUGUCUCCAUCUCUGUCUCAACUUUAAGGUGCACUGAGCUAUAACUUCUUAGUUUCCUAUUAAAAUUAGAAUCUGAAUAUAAUUUACUUCUUCAAAUUAUUUCCAUGAGAAUUGAUGGGUUAAUUAAAGCAGAAGAUUCUUGAAAUGUGAGCAACCAAGUAAAUGGAAGACCUGAGAACCUUCCA